ACGGCUCAGUAACACGUCGAUAAUCUGCCCUACAGUCAAUGAUAGCUACGCGAAAGUGUGGGUAAACAUUGAUAGACAAGAACGGCUGCAAUUGCCACCUUGUCGAAACUCGUGCUGUAGGAUGAGUCGGCGGCUGAUUAGGUAGUUGGCGGGGUAACGGCCCACCAAGCCUUGGAUCAGUACGGGCCAUGAAAGUGGUAGCCCGGAGAGGGACACUGAGAUACUGGUCCCAGCCCUACGGGGUGCAGCAGGCGCGAAAACUCUCCAAUGUGCGAAAGCGUGAGAGGGGAAUUCGCAGUGCUUACGGUUUAGCCGUAGGCUUUUGCCAUGUGUAAAUAGCAUGGCGAAUAAGUGGUGGGUAAGACUGGUGCCAGCCGCCGCGGUAACACCAGCGCCACGAGUGGCUAUCGCGAUUAUUGGGCCUAAAGCGUCCGUAGUCGACCGCCUGUGGCGAAGGCGCUACACGAGAACGGAUCUGACGAUGAGGGACGAAAGCCAGGGGAGCAAACCGGAUUAGAUACCCGAGUAGUCCUGGCCGUAAACGCUGUCUGCUAGGUGUUGCACCGACUUGAGUCGUUGCAGUAUCGGAGCGAAGGUAUUAAGCAGACCGCCUGGGAAGUACGGUCGCAAGACUGAAACUUUAAGGGAUUGGCGGGGGAGCACCACAAGGGGUGCGGCGUGCGGUUUAAUUUAACUCAACGCAGAGCAUCUCACUAGAGGCGACGGCAGGAAGAAGAUCAGUCUGAAGGGCUUAUCUGACGAGCCGAGAGGUAGUGCAUGGCCGCCGUCAGCUCGUGCCGUAAGGUGUCCAGCUAAGCCUGGUAACGAGCGAGACCCGCGCC
rnacentral:rRNA from 1 species